rnacentral:rRNA from 1 species
GGGGCAUGCGAGGGCUGUCGCUGACUCAAAGUCGUGCACGCCCGAGUGUGUCGCCUCACAUAAUAAUCCAUCUCACCCUUUGUGCAUCACCGCGUGGGCACCCCUUUGGGAUCAUCUCGGAGGGGGCUCGCGUUUUCACACAAAAACCCCCUUUUAAAAGUGUAGAAUGACCUCAUUUAUGCGCUAACCCGCAAUCAAUACAACUUUCAACAACGGAUCUCUUGGCUCUCGCAUCGAUGAAGAACGCAGCGAAAUGCGAUACGUAAUGUGAAUUGCAGAAUUCAGUGAAUCAUCGAAUCUUUGAACGCACCUUGCGCCCCCUGGUAUUCCGAGGGGCACACCCGUUUGAGUGUCGUGAAAACCUCAACCUCCUUGGUUUCUUCUGGAGACCAAAGCAGGCUUGGACUUUGGAGGCCUUUGCUGGCAACUCUCGCCAGCUCCUCUUAAAUGAAUUAGCAGGGUCCUCUUUGCUGAUCCUCGACGUGUGAUAAGAUGUUUCCAUGUCUUGGUUUCUGGCUCUGACACCUUUGGGACCCGCUUCUAACCGUCUUCAACCUUGCGUUGAGACAACGUUCGAGCAUGUCUCCCUUCUCGGGAAGCUCCCUCGACCCCACGAACCCUUGA